rnacentral:rRNA from 1 species
GAGUACCACGGGACACGUGAAACCCUGUGGGAAGCAGGAGGGGCCACCCUCCAAGGCUAAAUACUACCUAGUGACCGAUAGCGUAUAGUACCGUGCGGGAAAGGUGAAAAGAACCCCGGGAGGGGAGCGAAAUAGAACCUGAAACCCUGCACUUACAAGCUGUGGACGCACAUUUCUUGUGUGAGCGCGUACUUUUUGUAGUACGGGCUAACGAGUUACGCUAAGUAGCCAGGUUUGGCACUUAAGGUGUGGAGC